UACGUAGGUCCCGAGCGUUGUCCGGAUUUAUUGGGCGUAAAGCGAGCGCAGGUGGUUUAUUAAGUCUGGUGUAAAAGGCAGUGGCUCAACCAUUGUAUGCAUUGGAAACUGGUAGACUUGAGUGCGGGAGGGGCAGGCGGAAUUCCUGGUGUAGCGGUGAAAUGCGUAGAUAUCAGGAGGAACACCGGCGGCGAAGGCGGCCUGCUGGACCGCGACUGACGUUGAGGCUCGAAAGCGUGGGGAGCAAACAGG
rnacentral:rRNA from 1 species